CCAUAUGCAGAAGAAAAAUUAUUCAAUCGUAUUUCUAUAAAGACACAUGUAGAAUGUGAUUGGAUAAUUUUCCUUAUCAUAUGGUUAUGCUGCUAUUCAAGUUUGUCUGGAUAGGUCCCUACUAUGAUGGUAUUUUCACAAAAAUUCAAGGUUAGACAACAAUUUCCCGAAAAAGGGGAUAAUGUUGGUAACGAAAUCUUCUAAACGAAAUAAUUUUAGUUUCAAUGGAUUAGUAGCACGGUUCAAGUAGUAAUCUGUUAGUUUACACGUUCUUUUUGACAUAUGCGUGGGUAUAAUGUAAAUAUAAAAUAUAUUGUAAUAUUUUAUUAAAAUUAAAUAAGGACAAAUAAGUGAAAACAUAAAGUGCGCAGAACAUAAUAAGUAAGAACAUAAAGUGAACAAGACUGUAAUCAUCACUGAAUUUCUGUUGAUUGUUGAACACUACUGAUAAAGACUGUUGAUGCUCGUGUCGAAAGCAGAGAGAUUAUUUCUAAUUUGGCUAAAGCUGUAAAAUUGGCUAUGAUGAGAUUUCCACAAUGAGAUCUGAUAUUGACUGCGUUCAGCAAAAAAGUAACUUUGCAACUGUAAUUGAUCGUGUAAGAUUCUUCAAUAUGAUUUAUACAUACAAUAUGGUUUAUACAUUUAAAUCCAUAGGAACUAAGGACAAAAACCAAUCAUAUCAAAGAUUUUUAUAACAGUUGCAAAGCUACUUUCUCUGCUGAAUGCAGCCAUUGAUAAUAUUGAUAAAUAUAUACGUAACACGACAGCAAGAGCGUUUGUAAUGUCGCAUCCGCAUUUACAUUUUGACAUGCCCGCGCAUAUGUCAAAAAGAAUGUAUAAAUUAACAGAUUAUUACUUGAACAGUGCUACUAAUCUAUAGAAAUUAAAAUUAUGUCAUUCAGAAGAUUUCGUUGGUACCAACAUUAUCCCUCCAUUUUUCGGGAAAAUGUCGUGUAACCUGUUUCUGCACUAAAAUUUUCUAUUUCCGGCUAA